rnacentral:rRNA from 1 species
GACGGGUGAGUAAUGCGUAGGAAUCUACCUAGUAGUAUGGAAUAGCCAUUAGAAAUGAUGGGUAAUACUGUAUAAUCCCUGCGGGGGAAAGAUUUAUCGCUAUUAGAUGAGCCUACGUUAGAUUAGCUAGUUGGUAAGGUAAUGGCUUACCAAGGCUAUGAUCUAUAGCUGGUCUGAGAGGACGAUCAGCCACACUGGAACUGAGAUACGGUCCAGACUCCUACGGGAGGCAGCAGUGGGGAAUAUUGGACAAUGGGCGAAAGCCUGAUCCAGCUAUGCCGCGUGAGUGAAGAAGGCCUUCGGGUUGUAAAGCUCUUUCAAUAGGGAAGAUAAUGACGGUACCUAUA